UACGGAGGAUGCGAGCGUUAUCCGGAUUUAUUGGGUUUAAAGGGUGCGUAGGUGGUUAAUUAAGUCAGCGGUGAAAGUUUGUGGCUCAACCAUAAAAUUGCCGUUGAAACUGGUUGACUUGAGUAUAUUUGAGGUAGGCGGAAUGCGUGGUGUAGCGGUGAAAUGCAUAGAUAUCACGCAGAACUCCGAUUGCGAAGGCAGCUUACUAAACUAUAACUGACACUGAAGCACGAAAGCGUGGGGAUCAAACAGGAUUAGAUACCCUGGUAGUCCACGCAGUAAACGAUGAUUACUAGCUGUUUGCGAUACACAGUAAGCGGCACAGCGAAAGCGUUAAGUAAUCCACCUGGGGAGUACGCCGGCAACGGUGAAACUUAAAGGAAUUGACGGGG
rnacentral:rRNA from 1 species